UGAGUAACCUGCCCUUAACUCUGGGAUAAGCCUGGGAAACUGGGUCUAAUACCGGAUAUGACUCCUCAUCGCAUGGUGGGGGGUGGAAAGCUUUUUGUGGUUUUGGAUGGACUCGCGGCCUAUCAGCUUGUUGGUGAGGUAAUGGCUCACCAAGGCGACGACGGGUAGCCGGCCUGAGAGGGCGAUCGGCCACAUUGGGACUGAGACACGGCCCAGACUCCUACGGGGGGCAG
rnacentral:rRNA from 1 species